rnacentral:rRNA from 1 species
UACAGAGGUCCCGAGCGUUGUUCGGAUUCAUUGGGCGUAAAGGGUGCGUAGGCGGCGGGGAAAGUCUGAUGUGAAAUCCUGGGGCUCAACCCUGGAACUGCAUUGGAUACUUCCUUGCUAGAGUACUGGAGAGGAAACUGGAAUUUACGGUGUAGCAGUGAAAUGCGUAGAGAUCGUAAGGAAGACCAGUGGCGAAGGCGAGUUUCUGGACAGUUACUGACGCUGAGGCACGAAGGCUAGGGGAGCAAACGGG